UUCCGGCCCCAGUGCUUUCGUGCUGCAGUCCAAAAAAGACAAAUCCAGACUCCGUGGCAAGAAUAAAUUAGAUUAAUGUAAUUCUAUGAAGGACUAUCCUCCGGGAGGCCCAGGAGUCCUCACCGCCAGUUCCUCAGAAACCAAAGAGAAAAGUAAAACUAUUCAAGAAAAAAAAAAAGUGUAUCGAUUUGUCACGUUAGAAUCCAGUGUUUUAUUUUCGUGUUUUCACUACACAAAACAUCCCACGGGCUACACACCAAGCCGCCCCCCCUCCCCGCGGCACUGCGCCUGCGCCGCGGUGUGUUUACGCCGUGGGGCGACUGGCCGGUCCGGCUUCCUGACGUGAUUCUUAAUGAAAAUCAUGUUUUCGUCUUGGAAGGCCAUCCGGAGUUUAAAACAGGACAGGUUACGAACUUGAAGACAGUGAAAAAUCAGAACUUUAAUGAAAGUUUGAGCACUCAGAAAUCGCUGUCAGGGAAAGCGAAGACAGCGCUGCGCUCCCUUCCAGGAGACACGGCAGGCAGCCGCAGGCAGCCCGACGCGCGAGACAUCUGGUCCACUCCCCAAGUGGUUGUGAUGUUGGGGCACUAGGCUGUCUGUGAUAUGGUAUCAGAGAAGGCAUCACCUCAAAAUGCUAGCCCCUGGAUUUUCUUAAUAUAUUCAGUAUGAUAGUAAAAUUCAGUAAGUCUUGUAGUUUGGACAGUCACAUCUAACACGAAAGUGAGGAGUGAAUAAAAUCCUGCUCCAGGUCUAGAGGUACAAUGCUUGGCUGGAAGGAUCGUAACAAGUUAGCUGAACCAGUGUUUACUGAGGCUUUCUUCACGGAGGAAAGGAGAUGUGCAUAAGGUAAAGGAAUUUCUGGACCAUCGUAAUGCUUGACUCCGAAAUAUGGUGACUUUGUUGAGACAGCUAGUGUAAGACGAAGCCUUUCAGUGUACCUGAGAAGAUGGGUCUAGUGAAAAUUAAGACAGAAUUGGAUGAAGAGUUGAUGAAUGACUUUGCAUCCUUUGGCACUCCUGCUGCGUUUAGACUGAUAAGUUUUACUUUAAGAAAAAACUUUUUAAACACUGCAUCCUGUGUCUCCUGUUUCUGCUGGAUGGUGCUGCUUGGGAACCGUCAAUCCCGGAGCCUGGGCUUCUGGAUUGAACGCCGUGUGUGUGUCCACGAGGAUGUUUGUUCCAGUUCACAGCAGUUUCAUCAAAGGUCAUACUAGUCUCGCCUCAUGUCUUCCAUGUCUUCUCUCCACCAAAACCAUCUUUAUCAAAGUGAUCUGGAUGGCCAAGUGCAAUGGUCAGUCCUGUGUUUCUCUUGCCUCUUUGAAGUACUUCCCACUCAGCAGUCAAAACGAUCAAAGUUAAACAGUCAGACUGAAACUCUGUCUGCGAGAGGACUUACCUCAAAUGGAGUAGAAUCCCAUGUUUACUGUGACAUACAAUGUUUUAUGUGACCUGGGCCCCUAUUUCCUCUCAGAUUUCUUCUCUCACCUCUCAGCCCCAACUUGCUGUGUUUCCGGCUUACUGGUUCCCUUAUUGUCCCCAAAUCAACCAGGCACAUUCCUGCCUCAGAGCCUUUGGAUCCGCAAUUUCCUCUGCCCGUAGCAUAGAGAAUGACAUGGUCCCUGCUCUCAUUCCAUUCGAGUUGCUACUCAAAUGUUGCUUUAUCACAGAGGGCUUCCCUUCAUUCCCCCGGCCCCAAAACUCAUUUCUUUUCCAGCACUGAAGCAACAUGACAUCUUUUGCUUGUUUGUGGUGUUUUGCCUGCUUUCCACACUUGAGUGCAAAUUUCCACUCUGUAACACUGGAACUUUGGCUGUCUUUGUCCUCUGCUGUGUCCCUAGAGAGCUUGGUGCCUGGGAAGGACUCAUUAAAAAUUUAAUGAACGAAGAAAUGAAGAAGCACUUAUGUAAGUGAUUAUUCAGAGUAGUCAGAAGCGCAAAGUGAGUGGUUCUCAGCUUUCACCCGGGUAUGUGGGGUCAACUGAAGGCUGAGCUCUGAACCCAGAGUUUUCUCCUUAGUUUUUUCAGCAUGAAUAGUAUGUCGUUAAAGAUGGUAGAUGGGUAGCAGAACCAUUCCAUUGUUCCUGGUUCCAUAUAUUGGUCACUGGUAAUACUAAUAAACUUUCACUUGCUCAGUACAUUUUACUUGGAAACGAACUUUUUUCUCUAAAUAAAAAUGCCUCAUCAAC